UACGUAGGGGGCAAGCGUUGUCCGGAUUUAUUGGGCGUAAAGCGCUCGCAGGUGGUUCGUCGCGUCGUGCGUGAAAGACCCCGGCUCAACUGGGGGGUGUCGUGCGAUACGGGCGGACUGGAGGCCAGUAGGGGGAUGCGGAAUUCCGGGUGUAGUGGUGGAAUGCGUAGAGAUCCGGAGGAACACCAGCGGCGAAGGCGGCAUCCUGGACCGGCAUUGACGCUGAGUGAGCGAAAGCCAGGGGAGCAAACGGG
rnacentral:rRNA from 1 species